ACGGCAAUAUCAUGUUCAAACACCGGUUCUCAUUCAAUCACCAAAGUUAAGCAACAUUGAACCUGGUCAGUACCUAUAUGGGUGAAUGUUCAGGAAUACCAGGUGCUGUAAG